AUUUGUGGCCGAGCGGGUCAGUGGGCGUGGCGUGAGGAGGGCGAGGCCACUGAGGGCGGAGCGUGCAGAGGGCGGGGCCGCCAGGAGGAGCGGCGUUCGGUAGGCGGAGGUGCCAAAGGAUCCCCGGCGAGACCCGGAGGGCGAGGCACGGUGAGGGGCGGGGCCGGUGGAGGGCGUGUGGAGGGGCGGGGCACCCUGGAGAGUGACGUGGCUACACACCGGCUCCCCGAGUCGCCUAGCUGUGUGCGGCCGCGGCCUGACGGGUCUUUCCCGAGUGAGGGGGGCGUGGUUUGACGUGGGCUCCGCCCCAGCGGAGGCCGAUGGUGAACCUGCUACUCUUCUGGGCGGGCGCCUUCAGGUUUCUGCCUCUGUGACCCGGGGACGAGGACCUUCCCCGGGGACCGGGAGGACCAGGCGGUCCAUUUCCGCUAAGGUGAAGCGCUGCAGGCCUUGCACGGGAGCAGCGCCUCGGGACCCGGGGAAAUUCUAGUGAGCCUUCUCAUCUGAGUUCCGGUUUUCCUGGCUCUGCGUUCCUAGAGCUGGUAUUAAAGACAUAAGGACCGCACCCGGCAGGCUUUGGACACUCAUACUCUCUCCAUUUCGAAGAUUUAUUCUUUUUUUAGAACCACCUGCCUCUGCCUCACAAAUGCUUGGACAUUUGUGAGGCAACAUGAAUUAUUCUAUUUUUAAUUAUAUGCGUGUGUGCGCGCACACGUGUGUGCACAAGUGUGCGGGUGCCCUGAGUCACCAGAGGUGUUGGAUCUUCCUUAAGCUAGAGAUACAGGCUGCUGUGAACUGCCCAACACGGUACUGGGAAGCCAAGCAGCAAGUGUUCUUAAUCUUCAAGACGCCUCUCCGUCCCCUAGCCUUGAACAACUGACCGUGACUCUACCUCCCAAGUACUGAGAUUAGGGGAGGUGGGGAGGUGAGCCAUCACUUCCGGUUUAUUAUCCAGUCCUUCAUUUAUGGAAAUAGUACUUGAUCACGACUUAACUAUAUUCCCAAUUUUUCUUCCCUACUAUGGAUAUUAAAAUAGUACAGAUUUUCUUUGUUUUCUUUUUUUUAUUUUUCAAGACAAGAUUUCUCUAUGUAACAGCCCUAAUUAUCCUGGAACUAACUUGUAGAUCAGGCAGGCCUCAGACUCACAGAGCUCUGUCUGCCUCUGCCUCCUGAAUGCUGGGAUUAAAGGCCUGCGCCACCACGGCCCGAGAAUAGUACAGAUUUUGGUAAACCUAUAAGCCCUUUCCGCUUAGCAUUGAAGUUUGAUUUAAAGUGAUAUUGGCUGUACAUACUGUACUUUUUGAUUUAAUAAAAUUAUAUUUUGGUGCAAGGUCAUCAUUAAGAGCACGUUCCUACUGGUGAAAGGUUUUUCUGCCGCCAACCACAUUAAAUACUCGCCAUUUCACACAUUACAUCAGCCGUAAACAGUAAGGCUUUUCUUUUUUUCUCCACAGAAAUCUCCAGUUUACCUGACCCUAAGCAACCUCCUGAAACUGGCUGCUAUUCAGUGUGGACUGUACUCCAUUUCUAUUGCCCAAUACCAACUGCAAGAGCUCUAUUCCUGGUGAUACUUUGAAUUUUAACAUCCAACUAGCUAGCUGUUCUUGUUAUAAUAAAUUUUUGUUUGUUUGUUUUUGUUUUUUC